AUUCUGACUGUCCAGGGGUGGUAGGGCGCACAAACUUGUGUAUAAGCUGUUGAAGCAGCUUCCUUUAACGAGUAUUCUCUAGAGAUACAAGGCAGCAAAGCUAGAAGGAAGAGAAAAGGGGGACAGAGAACUUACUCAGUGGACAUGAACUGUUGAAACAGAGCUCUAACAAGGUCCAAACCUUGUCUAACUCGACGCAGAUUGCGAGAAUUGCUUCCGGGUGCUUUAACUGUGUCAUUUGCAAUAUCAUCAUCAAGUAUUGUGAGCAAUGUCUCGUGCUUCUUUGAAGCUUCCGAAAGAUCACGCACCUGAAAAAAAAAAAAAACAUCAAAAGGGGGUGAUUCCAUUAGAAUUUCCAACAUCUUGCUGAUGGUUGUGGUGAGGAAGUCCCACGUUGGUUAAUUAAGCGGAUGAUCGUGGAUUUAUAGGUUAGUAAAUACA